CACGAACCGUACAAACGUUAUUCGGAAUUACUGGGCUUAAAGGGUGCGUAGGCGGCCUGAAAAGUUGGGUGUGAAAUACCUCGGCUCAACCGAGGAAUUGCGCUCAAUACUGCCAGGCUAGAGGGAGACAGAGGUGAGCGGAACUCAGGGUGGAGCGGUGAAAUGCGUUGAUAUCCUGAGGAACACCAGUGGCGAAGGCGGCUCACUGGGUCUCUUCUGACGCUGAGGCACGAAAGCUGGGGGAGCGAACGGGAUUAGAUACCCCCGUA
rnacentral:rRNA from 1 species